CGGGUGAGUAAUGUAUGGGGAUCUGCCUGAUGGCGGGGGAUAACUACUGGAAACGGUAGCUAAUACCGCAUAAUGUCUGCGGACCAAAGCGGGGGACCUCCGGGCCUCGCGCCAUCAGAUGAACCCAUAUGGGAUUAGCUAGUAGGUAAGGUAACGGCUUACCUAGGCGACGAUCCCUAGCUGGUCUGAGAGGAUGACCAGCCACACUGGAACUGAGACACGGUCCAG
rnacentral:rRNA from 1 species